rnacentral:rRNA from 1 species
CCUACGGGAGGCAGCAGUGAGGAAUAUUGGUCAAUGGGCGAGAGCCUGAACCAGCCAAGUCGCGUGAAGGAUGAAGGAUCUAUGGUUUGUAAACUGCUUUUAUAUGGGAGUAAAGUGCGAAACGUGUUCCUUGUUGUAUGUAUCAUAUGAAUAAGCAUCGGCUAACUCCGUGCCAGCAGCCGCGGUAAUACGGAGGAUGCGAGCGUUAUCCGGAUUUAUUGGGUUUAAAGGGUGCGUAGGUGGUUAAUUAAGUCAGAGGUGAAAGUUUGGGGCUCAACCAUAAAAUUGCCGUUGAAACUGGUUGACUAGAGUAUAGUUGAGGUAGGCGGAAUGUGUGGUGUAGCGGUGAAAUGCAUAGAUAUCACGCAGAACUCCGAUUGCGAAGGCAGCUUACUAAACUAUAACUGACACUGAGGCACGAAAGCGUGGGGAUCAAACAGGAUUAGAUACCCGAGUAGUC